UGCAGUCGAACGAUGAACCUGGAGCUUGCUCUGGGGGAUUAGUGGCGAACGGGUGAGUAACACGUGAGUAACCUGCCCUUGACUCUGGGAUAACCUCCGGAAACGGAAGCUAAUACCGGAUAUGACGUACGGAGGCAUCUCCUGUGCGUGGAAAGAAUUUCGGUCAAGGAUGGACUCGCGGCCUAUCAGGUAGUUGGUGAGGUAACGGCUCACCAAGCCUACGACGGGUAGCCGGCCUGAGAGGGUGACCGGCCACACUGGGACUGAGACACGGCCCAGACUCCUACGGGAGGCAGCAGUGGGGAAUAUUGCACAAUGGGCGCAAGCCUGAUGCAGCAACGCCGCGUGAGGGACGACGGCCUUCGGGUUGUAAACCUCUUUUAGUAGGGAAGAAGCGAAAGUGACGGUACCUGCAGAAAAAGCACCGGCUAACUACGUGCCAGCAGCCGCGGUAAUACGUAGGGUGCAAGCGUUGUCCGGAAUUAUUGGGCGUAAAGAGCUCGUAGGCGGUUUGUCGCGUCUGCUGUGAAAACCCGAGGCUCAACCUCGGGCCUGCAGUGGGUACGGGCAGACUAGAGUGCGGUAGGGGAGAAUGGAAUUCCUGGUGUAGCGGUGGAAUGCGCAGAUAUCAGGAGGAACACCGAUGGCGAAGGCAGUUCUCUGGGCCGUAACUGACGCUGAGGAGCGAAAGCGUGGGGAGCGAACAGGAUUAGAUACCCUGGUAGUCCACGCCGUAAACGUUGGGCGCUAGAUGUGGGGACCAUUCCACGGUUUCCGUGUCGCAGCUAACGCAUUAAGCGCCCCGCCUGGGGAGUACGGCCGCAAGGCUAAAACUCAAAGGAAUUGACGGGGGCCCGCACAAGCGGCGGAGCAUGCGGAUUAAUUCGAUGCAACGCGAAGAACCUUACCAAGGCUUGACAUAUACGAGAACGGGCCAGAAAUGGUCAACUCUUUGGACACUCGUAAACAGGUGGUGCAUGGUUGUCGUCAGCUCGUGUCGUGAGAUGUUGGGUUAAGUCCCGCAACGAGCGCAACCCUCGUUCUAUGUUGCCAGCACGUAAUGGUGGGGAACUCAUAGGAGACUGCCGGGGUCAACUCGGAGGAAAGUUGGGGAUGACGUCAAAUCAUCAUGCCCCUUAUGGCUUGGGCUUCACGCAU
rnacentral:rRNA from 1 species